UCAAGCUAAUAAGAGCGCAAGGGGAAUGCCUUGGCAUCAGGAGCCGAUGAAGGACGUGAUAAGCUGCGAAAAGCUUCGGGGAGCUGCAAAUAAGCAUUGAUCCGGAGAUGUCCGAAUGGGGAAACCCACCUGAGCAAACCUCAGGUAACGCAUGGUGAAUCAAAUAGCCAUGCGUGGGGAACCGCCUGAACUGAAACAUCUAAGUAGGGCGAGGAAAAGUAAUCAACCGAGAUUCCGAAAGUAGUGGCGAGCGAAAUCGGAAGAGGCCAAACCGUACGUAGCAAUAUGUGCGGGGUUGUGGACGGCAAUGUCGGUAAGCUUCGUUAGACGAAUGGUCUGGGAAGGCCAGUCAAAGAGUGUGAGAGCCACGUAGUCGAAAAUGAAGCGAACGUAGCCGGAUCCAGAGUACCGCGGGGCACGAGGAAUCCCGUGGGAAGCCGGGGGGACCACCCUCCAAGCCUAAAUACUACCUGAUGACCGAUAGAGGAGCAGUACCGUGAGGGAAAGGUGAAAAGCACCCCGGGAGGGGAGUGAAACAGUACCUGAAACCUUGUGCUUACAAGCAGACAUAGCCCGUUAAAGGGUGGUGUCGUACUUUUUGUAGAACGGUCCGGCGAGUUAUAGUAACUGGCGAGCUUAAGGUAUUCAGUACCGGAGGCGAAGGGAAACCGAGUGUGAAGAGCGCGUGAAGUCAGUUGCCAUAGACCCGAAACCAGGUGACCUAGCCAUGUCCAGGAUGAAGUGGAGGUAAAGCUCCAUGGAGGUCCGAACCCACGUACGUUGCAAUGUCCGGGGAUGAGGUGUGGCUAGCGGUGAAAUUCCAAACGAACUUGGAGAUAGCUGGUUCUCCCCGAAAUAGCUUUAGGGCUAGCGUAGGUAAUGAGUUUCACGGAGGUAAAGCACUGUCUGAGCUAGGGGGCGAUAAGCUUACUGAACUCUAACAAACUAAGAAUGCCGUAGAAAUGCUUACCUGCAGUCAGACUGCGAGUAAUAAAAUCCGUGGUCAAAAGGGAAACAGCCCAGACCCACAGCUAAGGUCCCAAAUAUACGCUAAGUGGAAAACGAUGUGAGAUUGCAUAAACAACCAGGAUGUUGGCUUAGAGGCAGCCACUCGUUCAAAGAGUGCGUAAUAGCUCACUGGUCGAGUGAUCUUGCGCGGAAAAUUUAACGGGGCUAAGCGUAUAACCGAAGCUUGGGAAUGUCGAAAGACAUUGGUAGGGGAGCGUCGUGUAUGGGGUGAAGUCGCAUCGGAAGGAGCGGUGGACUGUACACGAGUGAGAAUGCCGGAAUGAGUAGCGAGAAUUAUGUGGGAAUCAUAAUGGCCGAAAAUCUAAGGUUUCUUGGGGAAGGUUCGUCCGCCCAAGGUAAGCCGGGAGCUAAGGCGAGGCCGAAAGGCGUAGUCGAUGCACAUACGGUUGAAAUUCCGUAGCCACCUUAUCGAUAAAAGCUGACACAUAGAGAUAGCCGAACCCGGGCGUUGGUUGACCCGGGCGAAAGGGACCGAACUACAGUAGGGAAGUCGGCGAUGCUCUGUGGCGAGAAAAGGCGAAGAUAGGGUGCCCGUACCGCAAACCGACACAGGUAGAUGAGGAGAGAAUCCUAAGGCCAACGGGAGAAAGGUUGUUAAGGAACUCGGCAAAAUUGCCCCGUAACUUCGGGAGAAGGGGCGCCCUCGAAAGAGGGCCGCAGUGAAAAGGCCCAAGCGACUGUUUACCAAAAACACAGGUCUCUGCUAAAUCGAAAGAUGACGUAUAGGGGCUGACGCCUGCCCGGUGCUGGAAGGUUAAGAGGAGAUGUUAGCCGCAAGGCGAAGCAUUGAAUCGAAGCCCCAGUAAACGGCGGCCGUAACUAUAACGGUCCUAAGGUAGCGAAAUUCCUUGUCAGGUAAGUUCUGACCCG
rnacentral:rRNA from 1 species